CUUAUGUUGAAUUGCUGUGUGUUUUUAGCAUGGUUUUUACUCCCCCUUUGGCAGAAGCUCUCUCAUGUGAUUGGAUGACUGUGAGUCACAUGAGAGAGGCAAUCCAUUUUGUUGUGACUGUUAUUCAAGUAACUUUCGUUUUUAACUGCUUUCUGUUCUCUCUGUGUGUGAUGAGGUGGAAUGGCUGCUGAGAGAGGUUUCUCUGGAUGCUGAUGAGAACACUGUGAGUUAGUAUGACCUGUCUGGGAUGAAGAAGACAGAGUAAGAUCCCUUAAUGUCAGUAGGGAGAAACCUGUGCUCUCUAUAAGGAACAAAGUGAAUACGCUUGAGAUUGUAGGUAUGUUCUUCUCGGUUAUAUGUUUAUGAAAGCAAAGUUCUUUUGAAUAUAAAGAGUCUGGAUAUUGCAUAGCAUCCAAAUUUAUAUAUAAAACAGGUGGCAUGGGAAUUAAUUGUAUAUGGAUGAAGUCAGGAGUUUCCUGGGUCUGUUUUGCUCUGGUCUAAGAAAGACAAUGGGAUGCGGGUGGCGCUGUGGGUUAAACCACAGAGCCUAGGGCUUGCCGAUCAGAAGGUCGGCGGUACGAAUCCCUGCAAUAGGGUGAGCUCCCGUUCGGUCCCAGCUCCUGCCAACCUAGCUGUUCAAAAGCACGUCAAAGUGCAAGUAGAUAAAUAGGUACCCCUCUGGCGGGAAGGUAAACAGCGUUUCCAAGCACUGCUCUGGUUCGCCAGAAGCAGCUUAGUCAUGCUGGCCACAUGACCCGGAAGCUGUCUGCGGACAAACACUGGCUCCCUCAGCCAGUAAAGCGAGAUGAGCGCAACAACCCCAGAGUCGUCUGUGACUGGACCUAAUGUUCAGGGUUCCUUUUACCUUUACCUUUAAGAAAGACAAUAAAAUUCCUGUCUAGAUUUCUGGCUAGCAUGUAUUCUGACUAAGCCUUCAAUGAGUGCUUUCAAUUACAAGCUAAGCUGCAGUCAAUGAACAUCACAUAAGGCAGUCUUCAGCAAUGUGUGGUGUUGUUGUUUAGAACACCUCUUCUUGAUUGGAGGCUAUCAUUUUGUUUUCCACAGUGGUCAACAGAUGCCUAUGGGGAUCCUAGGGAUACAAGUUUCCCAAACCUUCUAAAAUCCCACACACACCCUCAACUCGGGUUCUGCAAGCUUAUUUCUUUUAUUCCACCGGGGGGGGGGUGUCCCCCAGUAAGAGAGGCAGAGCAUGGGAACUGGGUCUGAGUCUUUUGUUGACUGAAGGGAAAUUAUGGGCUUACUUGCCUUCAGUCAGCUGAAGCACCCACUGAGUGAGAAGAAUCUUGAUAGACCAUCCUCACCUAAUGAGAGUUCUUAGGGAACAGUAAUGGUCUCCCCUGGAUUAGAGGGUGCCAUUGUGGCUGCAUAAGGACUGAUACCCAGAGAAUUCAGCUUGCUGUUGGUAUAUAAGAUGAUGCCUGGUGUACAGGAAAGAGAUCAUUUCAGGCUUUAUUUCUAGAAAGUUCAUGAUCUUUAUAUGCACAUAAAUGUCUAGCUCCCAUGUUUCCGCAUCGCAGAAUAUUAAGUAGCCUUCUUGGCCAAUUAUAAAGUUUUUUUAUCCCGUCAAGCCAAAGUUCCUUUUUCCAUUUUCUCGUAGAUUGUUUAUCUCGCAAGACAUGGGAAUUGGUUUGAUGUCUGCGCGGUUCAUGAAUGUGGAUGUUAAGCUGCUUGUGUGUGCGGAUUAAAUUCUCUUUGCAUACAAAUAACAGAAAAAUAAAUCUCCCUUUUCAUGUCGUAACAUGCAUAUAGAAUUAAUUGAUUUGUAAGCACAGCUAUCUCCUUUCCAAAACAGGG
rnacentral:lncRNA from 1 species